AACGAACGCUGGCGGCAUGCCUAACACAUGCAAGUCGAACGAGACCUUCGGGUCUAGUGGCGCACGGGUGCGUAACGCGUGGGAACCUGCCCUUAGGUUCGGAAUAACUCCCCGAAAGGGGUGCUAAUACCGGAUAAUGUCUUCGGACCAAAGAUUUAUCGCCUUUGGAUGGGCCCGCGUUGGAUUAGCUAGUUGGUAGGGUAAAAGCCUACCAAGGCGACGAUCCAUAGCUGGUCUGAGAGGAUGAUCAGCCACACUGGGACUGAGACACGGCCCAGACUCCGAGGGGGGGCAGAGUGGGAAAUAAUGGGAAAUUGGGGGCAAGCCGGUGCGAGCAGUGUGGAGUGGGUGAUGAAGCGCUUAUGUUUAUACAGCUUUUUCACCGAGAAUAAAAAUGACAGGAGGGGUAGAAUACGCGCCGGCUACGUCCGUGCCAGAGGCGGGGGUAAUGAUCGAAGAGCACACGUCAAAAC
rnacentral:rRNA from 1 species